UAAUGAUAGAUACUGAGGCUCAACGUCUUAUAGUUAUGACAGAAGUAGAUGAGCAGUCAUUAGACUACAUAAGGAACUACGACACAGCGAAAGGUAUGUGGAAUAAAUUACUGAGUGAAUAUGAAAAAAAAUCUGAUACAUCAAUUAUAUUGAUUCAGCAAAAAUUUUAUAGUUAUGUAAUGGAUAAAAAUGAUAAUAUGGCACAAAAUAUAUUAAAAUUAGAAAACUUAAAUAAACAAUUAAAACAGUUAGGUAAACCAAUAUCCGAUCAAUGUUUAUAGCCAAAAUUCUUAUAACCUGCCAGAAAAUUAUAAAUAUUUUUAAUAUGUUUGAUAUUCUAUAUCAUCAGAGGACAAAACAUUAUUAAACUUAACAUCCCGACUUAUAGUAGUGGAAACAAGACAAAGUAGUGGCUAUGAAAUCCAGAAAAAUGAUAAUAUAGUACAAUUGCGGAAAAUUGCAAUUUUUGUAAGAAACCAUAUCAUUGGAAACGAGAUUGCUGGUUCGUAAAAAGAACAAAACGGAAAGAAUAAAAUGGAAUCCAAUUCUUGAAAUGCACUACUAGGCCAUAAUUCAGUGAUAAGCAAAAUUAGUGAUUAUGAUAAAUGGUAUGUGUACUCCGGGGCAAGUUAUCAUAGAACCAGUAGAAGAGAAUGGUUAAGACCCUAUAAGGCGUUCGAAAUUUAAUGCUAAUUGGUGAAGAGACGUUAUAUUCAAAAAAUCUACGGAAACAGAGAUCCAAAUUAGAAAAAAAAGAUGGAGAAAUAAAUUCAGAAACAGUGUUCGAAAGUGAAUAAAAUAACGUUAAUGAUAAAGUAAUGUUAUAUAUAUAUAUAUAUAUAUAUGUUCAAGCAAAAAUUGACGAAAAAUGGGAUGACAGUUUUUUGUCAGAUGUUUUAUAUGAAUCUAAGCUAAAAAUAUAUUUUUUGUCAUGUGGAGCAUGCCUUGAUAA